CUUGCUUGCCCUGGGAACAGGGCUUGUGAUUCUGGAUGUUCAUGUUUUCGCCGUUUCCAGUCCUACUGUUUCUUACCAGUGAUGUUUUGGUCCAACUCCGCCGUGAAGCUUCAGUGUUUGCCGAAGUACAGUGGUAUGACAGUGAAUUCAUGAAAAUGAAGGCAACAUAUUAGUCACGAUGGAGUCAUGUUUACAAAGAAAGAGGAAAUCUGAAAACCAUGGCUGCAUCCGAAACCAGAAAAAUGCUGCCUCGGGAGGCUGUAUACCAGAGAUUAUUAAGCAGAGAUGGACACUUCUAUUAAAAUUAAUGGGAGAAAUUGGAACACUCAACCAAGGAGCUCUGAGCGCCCAAUGGUCAACGGAUGUAGAAAGGAAGUCCCACCUUAUAGAUAGCUGCACUGGCAUGAAGGGAAAUAGCCUCCAGAGAGCGUUUCAAAGAUGGCCGACAGUGGACUGACUUGCUAGAAAGACUUUGCUGUAUACGGAGGUAGCAAGUGACCAAGGCACGUCUGAAUCCAAUGUUCGUGUCACAUCCUGCUGCUGAAGCUAUGUUUCCAUCCAAGUUGCAAAUUUAAUUUAUGAAAAAAAACAUAUUGUUGCAAAAACAAUGUGCGAAUAAAGCCGCGUUUCCAUCCAAGGGCGUUCAAAAGGAUGAAAUAGUCGCUUCUGGAGAAACUGUAGCCACUGUGAGUGUUUUAUUAAUAAAAUACUGGCGGUUUAGAGCAUGCAGACAAAACACUGUCAGGAACUUUGUCUCAUGUUUUUGAGCGACAGUGCGUCACAUACUUCUGGGAGUGCUAUAUAAACUCAGCAAAAAAAGAAACGUCCUCAAUUUCAACUGCUUUUAUUUUCAGCAAACUUAACAUGUGUAAAUAUUUGUAUGAACAUAAAAAGAUUCAACAACUAAGACAUAAACUGAACAAGUUUCACAGACAUGUGAAUAAUGUGUCCCUGAACAAAAGGGGGGGUCAAAAUCAAAAGUAACAGUCAGUAUCCCUGUAACGCACAGCGUUGAGAUUGCCUGCAAUGACAACAAGCUCAAUCCGAUGAUACUGUGACACACCGCCCCAGACCAUGACGGACCCUCCACCUCCAAAUCGAUCCCGCUCCAGAGUACAGGCCUCGGUGUAACACUCAUUCCUUCGACGAUAAACACGAGACAAAACUGAAACUCGUCAUUGAAGAGCACUUUUUGCCAGUCCUGUCUGGUCCAGCGAAGGUGGGUUUGUGCCCAUAGGCGAUGUUGUUGCCGGUGAUGUCUGGUAAGGACCUUCCUUACAACAGGCCUACAAACCCUCAGUCCAGCCUCUCUCAGUGGACAGUCUGAGCACUGAUGGAGGGAUUGUGCAUUCCUGGUGCAACUCGGGCAGUUGUUGUUGCCAUCCUGUACCUGUCCCGCAGGUGUGUUAUUCGGAUGUACCGAUCCUGUGCAGGUGCUGUUACACAUGGUCUGCCACUUCAAGGACGAUCAGCUGUCCUUCCUGUCUCCCUGUAGCGCUGUCUUAGGCAUCUCACAGUACGGACAUUGCAAUUUAUUGCCCUGGCCACAUCUGCAGUCCUUAUGCCUCCAUGCAGUAUGCCUAAGGAUGAGCAGGGACCCUUGGCAUCUUUCUUUUGGUGUUUUUCAGAGUCAGUAGAAAGGUCUCUUUAGUGUCCUAUGUUUUUAUAACUGUGACCUUAGUUGCCUACCAUCUGUAAGCUGUUAGUGUCUUAAUGACCUUUCCACUGGUGAUGGAAAAUUAAUUGUUAUGAUGUAAUGAUGUUCAUUAAUUGUCUAUGGUUCAUUGAACAAGCAUGGAAAACAUUGUUUAAACCCUUUACAAUAAAGAUCUGUGAAGUUAUUUAGAUUUUUACAAAAUUAUCUUUAAAAUACAGUGUCCUGAAAAAGGGACGUUUCUUUUUUUGCUGAGUUUAUAUGAGUUCAUCCAUUCU